rnacentral:rRNA from 1 species
UAAAGUGGCGACCGGGUGAGUAACACGUGACUAACCUACCCUCGAGUGUGGAAUAACAUCGGGAAACCGAUGCUAAUACCGCAUAAUAUCGCAAGAUCAAAGCAGCAAUGCGCUUGGGGAGGGGGUCGCGGCUGAUUAGCUAGUUGGCGGGGUAACGGCCCACCAAGGCGAAGAUCGGUAGCCGGCCUGAGAGGGCGCACGGCCACACUGGAACUGAAACACGGUCCAG